GGCAGCUAGAGGAAAAAUCGCCCCUAGUGACGCUCGUUCGCAUCGAGAAGGUCGGGAGUUCGAUUCUCCCUAGCUCCACCA
rnacentral:tRNA from 1 species